UACGUAGGGUGCAGGCGUUAAUCGGAAUUACUGGGCGUAAAGCGUGCGCAGGCGGUUUGCUAAGACAGGUGUGAAAUCCCCGGGCUUAACCUGGGAACUGCGCUUGUAACUGGCAAGCUUGAGUGUGGCAGAGGGGGGUGGAAUUCCACGUGUAGCAGUGAAAUGCGUAGAGAUGUGGAGGAACACCGGUGGCGAAGGCAGCCUUCUGGGCCAACACUGACGCUCAUGCACGAAAGCGUGGGGAGCAAACAGG
rnacentral:rRNA from 1 species